rnacentral:tRNA from 1 species
CAAGGUAUAGCUUAACAUAAAGCACCUGGCUUACACCCAGAGAAUCUCAAUGCCACUUGAUUACCUUGA